ACCUGCAGCUGAUCCAGCAAAACAGCUGGUGAUAGAUUCAGGGCCGAACACACGAGGAAGAACAAGAACUGAAGUGGACUACAAUGUCACUUUGGGAGAGCUGUUAUGAAUUCAGUUCAUGAAGUAUGUCAUAAGCAGUGCCAAAUGUUUGCUCAGACGAAACAGACGGCAGAGGCGAGGCCGAUCACAUGACGAACAGCAGAAACCCGAUUGGCUCUUUUGCGAUGCCAUUGUUAUGGCGAAGAGAUCGGGCGCGUUGCCGAACAACGUCGGAAUCACGUGAGGUGGCGAAACCAGCGGUCUCUCAUGCACAACUCGGGUAUAUAACGAGGACGCGGCAGGACGCUCUUCCUUUUCCUGCGGAGUCAGGUUCACUGAGUGGGUACCACCGAAGUGUAAGAGGUGGGGGAGACCACUCCCGCCCCCACCCUCAAACUCAAGUAUGGCGAAGUCAUCUGCCAGGUUUUCCCCGUGAAAACCAACAGUACACUUGAGGAAUAGUUGCUCCCAAGGGUAACGACUGGAGUCUCCACCCCAAACUGAGGGGCGGUCUGACACCCUUUCCGUGAUCGAGAGCGAACACGAUGACAUCACCGCCCCCACCUCGAGAGCAGUUAGUGACAUCACAGGCCCGCUCCAGGGAGAGGGGCAACAACGUCAAAAUGUUUAAUUUCGACGUCGUUUCCCCUACCCGUGGAACGAGCACAGCGAUAUCACUGUUGCUACCUCGGCAGUAGGGAUGGUGAUGUCAUCGCGCCUGCCCACGAAUCGCGGGCGGGGUCGUCAGUGCCCCCCCCAGUCAGGGCGAAGCGACGCCAGGGCGCAGAAUCAGUGAAGAAAAACUUCCACGGAUUCACUAACCUUGAAGCACACGGCACUGCAGCACGGACACGAAAUUCAACGAAAUUCAACGAAACUCUACGAAACUCUACGAAACUACUAUGAAACUCGACGAAACUCGACGAAACUCGAUGAAACUCGAUGAAACUAUCCCCUUACCAGAAGGUAAGGGGAUAGUUUCUUAGUCUGCGUUGCUUGGUUAGGUGUGACAAGGGAACCUGUAGAAAUUAUCCUUGUCAAGUACACUAUAUCUGCACCAAAGAGAGAGAGAAAAUGUAAUCAUGGCUUACCAUUCAUUAUGCGUUCUGCCAGGUUUGGCAGAUGUAUUCUCGAAUGUAAUAAAAGUGCAGAUGAAAUACA